rnacentral:rRNA from 1 species
AAACUUUCAACAACGGAUCUCUUGGUUCCGGCAUCGAUGAAGAACGCANCGAAAUGCGAUACGUAAUGUGAAUUGCAAAUUCAGUGAAUCAUCGAGUCUUUGAACGCACAUUGCGCCCCCUGGUAUUCCGGGGGGCAUGCCUGUCCGAGCGUCAUU